UGCGUUCAUAUUUUCUUAAAAUGACAAAAGACGCUGUGUUUACCAGCCGCUUUACGGCAGUCGUAAUACUAUAGAUUUCCAUGGUGUAAGCGAUACAGCUGUAAUCAAUGGAGCGUGGUGCUGACUGCCGACUACCGCAAAGUGGAAUGUUAUGGUGAUAAUUGCGAUUAUCUGGGGUGUUGUUGCAAGUUAUCUUAAUUGGUCAGCAGUUUUAUUGCUUCAGAGAUAAGGAAAUAUUGAAAUAUACCGACUUUGCACUUAAAUGUGAAGUGUUUGUCACAGUGUUCGAAGCAGAUUCAAGACCGUUAAAUUGACAACAAUGACAAUCAAAAAGAAUACCAUAAAGCUUCUGAAGCACCAAAACUGUGGCAACAUAUUCAGGCUGCUAAGAAGGUGUCAAUCAACAAGAGUUACAACUGAUUGAAUGUGCCUUUAUUUAAUUAACAAUGUUAAAUGUGUUGUUAUUAUUAAUACUACUGUUAUUAAAUCAAUUCCUUUAACAUACUGUAAA